GAUGAACGCUAGCUACAGGCUUAACACAUGCAAGUCGAGGGGUCUUUUUUUAGCUUGCUUUAAAAGACGACCGGCGCACGGGUGAGUAACGCGUAUCCAACCUGCCCUUCAUAUUGGUAUAGCCUCCCGAAAGGGAGAUUAAUCCCGAAUAACAUGAGAAAGUUGCCUGAUUCUCUCAUGAAAGCUCCGGCGAUGAAGGAUGGGGAUGCGUUCCAUUAGGUAGUAGGCGGGGUAACGGCCCACCUAGCCUACGAUGGAUAGGGGUUCUGAGAGGAAGGUCCCCCACACUGGAACUGAGACACGGUUCAG
rnacentral:rRNA from 1 species